rnacentral:misc_RNA from 1 species
UUUAAAAUUGACUCCUGCUUCGCCAUAUCCCACCAAGUCACUCGCGUCGCCUCUCUCAAACUCUAAACGAUGGCAGCCGCCGCGUCCUCGUCCGCCGUGAAGUCAGUACUUUCUGCUCCAUUGCUUUCCUCACCAUCAUCAUCGCUUAAGCCCAAUGCCUCGAGAUGCUUGCUAGGAUUUAUAUCCUCAUCUUCUCCAACGCUUAAGCCUCUGGUUUCUCGUGUACACACCAGACAAAAUGCCCCAUCAAAUGGAAGAUCAUCGCUUUCAGUUAAAAUGGUUUCCACUCCUUCCAUCACUCAUACGACGUCGCUUGAUUUCGAAACUUCCGUUUUCAAGAAAGAGAAGGUCACUCUUGCUGGUCACGAUGAGUAUAUUGUGAGGGGAGGGAGAGACCUGUUUCCCUUGUUGCCUGAUGCUUUCAAGGGGAUUAAGCAGAUUGGAGUCAUUGGCUGGGGAUCCCAGGGGCCAGCCCAAGCUCAAAAUUUGAGGGAUUCUCUUGCUGAAGCAAAAUCUGACAUUGUAGUAAAGGCAAGAUCUUCUUCCAUUUAUUAGUCUACCUUCUGUGUAUUAGCAAUUUAUCUUACAGAAAUUUGUUGUUUCUAAGAUUAGUAAAUGGCUUUGCAUGGUUAAAGGUUUCUCUCUCUCGCACAGUCAUAUUUCUAUUCAUAAUGCAAAUUUCAUCUUCAUUGUUUUGUUAUUGCAGAUUGGGCUGAGGAAGGGCUCCCGCUCUUUUGCUGAAGCUCGCGCUGCAGGGUUCACUGAAGAGAGUGGAACUCUAGGAGACAUAUGGGAAACCAUUGCUGGCAGUGAUCUUGUCUUGUUAUUGAUUUCUGAUGCAGCACAGGUUGGUGGAUCCUGUGCAAUUCUUCAUUUUUCUUGGUGGCAUGAGAUAUGUUUCAUGUUUUUAACAGUACUUUACAAAAUUGUCCGCUAAUUGUUGUGUUGAAAGUUUUUUUUUGAUAGUCAUAACUAUGGCUACCAUUGCUGCUGCUAAAAUUUUUCGGAGUUCUCAUUGCCUUUGAUGUUUGAUGUUAUUCGAAGUUGAUAUGAAUAAAUUGAUAACCGUGUCUUUUAGCUUUUAGCGCGAUCCUUUGAUCUUUGGCCUCCAUGGGAACAACUCUGCAGCUGUUGGAGCCAUACUUGGUUUUACAUUUGAUUCCUGUUCUAUUUCUUAUUGGAGUCCUUUCUUGUGGUACUUAUGUCCAACUUGUGUGCUGCAGGCAGAUAACUAUGAAAAGAUAUUCUCCCACAUGAAACCAAACAGCAUCCUUGGGCUCUCCCAUGGUUUUCUUCUUGGACAUUUGCAAUCCUUGGGGCUUGAUUUUCCUAAGAACAUAAGCGUUAUUGCUGUUUGCCCCAAGGGGAUGGGGCCUUCUGUACGGAGACUCUAUGUUCAGGGCAAAGAAAUCAAUGGUGCUGGAAUUAAUUCCAGUUUUGCUGUCCACCAGGAUGUUGCUGGUAGAGCUACAGAUGUUGCCUUGGGCUGGUCAGUAGCUCUGGGCUCGCCUUUCACAUUUGCAACCACAUUGGAGCAGGAGUAUAGGAGUGAUAUUUUUGGGGAGCGCGGCAUACUACUCGGUGCUGUUCAUGGAGUGGUUGAAUGCUUGUUCAGGAGGUACACUGAGAAUGGAAUGAAUGAAGAUUUGGCAUACAAAAAUACUGUUGAAUCCAUAACAGGAAUUAUAUCAAAAACCAUCUCAACUAAGGGCAUGUUGGCUGUUUACAACUCGUUGUCAGAAGAGGGAAAAAGGGACUUUGAGGCUGCAUAUAGUGCUUCAUACUAUCCUUGUAUGGAUAUCUUAUAUGAGUGUUAUGAAGAUGUUGCUAGUGGUAGUGAGAUUCGAAGUGUUGUUUUGGCUGGUCGUCGAUUCUAUGAGAAGGAGGGCCUUCCAGCUUUCCCAAUGGGUAAGAUUGAUCAAACACGGAUGUGGAAAGUGGGUGAGCGUGUUAGAGCAACACGGCCAAAGGGUGACUUGGGUCCCUUGUGUCCAUUCACUGCUGGUGUGUUUGUGGCAUUGAUGAUGGCUCAGAUUGAGGUCUUGAGGAAGAAGGGACAUUCAUACUCUGAAAUCAUUAAUGAGAGUUUGAUUGAAGCUGUGGAUUCCCUGAAUCCAUUCAUGCAUGCUCGAGGUGUCUCAUUCAUGGUUGAUAAUUGUUCAACAACUGCACGAUUAGGAUCAAGGAAAUGGGCACCUCGCUUUGAUUACAUCCUUACCCAACAGGCCUUUGUGGCAGUGGACGCAGGCACUCCCCUUAAUCAGGACCUUAUUGGCAACUUCCUGUCAGAUCCUGUUCAUGGGGCAAUUGAAGUCUGUGCCCAGCUGAGACCAACUGUUGACAUUUCAGUGCCUCCAGAUGCAGAUUUUGUUCGCCCAGAGUUGCGUCAGUCUGGCAAUUAGAUAUAAAGAAAUUUAGCUUUACCUCUAUGUAUUUUAUGAAGGUCUACUAGGAUGGAAGAUUUUGUAGGAGUGAAGUGGGUAGGAUUUGAUCUAAAUAAAGCCUUUAUCUUCUUGUCUGAAUAGUUCACCUGAGUAAUGCUUUUUAGUUUGAAUGUUGCAAGCACAUUAAAUGUCUGUUAAUUUGGAUGCUUUGUUUCUUUUAGUUGUUGGCAGUUAUGGAAAAUGUUUCUCUGUUGUUCCAUUACGGAGUUAUGGGAAAUAUUUCUUUGUUGUUCUAUUUAUCCCAUAAGUGAUCACGUUGCAGUUUUUCCGAUUCAAAUUCAUUUUGAAUUGAAUUGACGGAAAUCAUUUCCAUUCUCAAAAACUGGCUAUUAGUUGUUUUUCAAGUGUCAAAUUGGGUGAUGCAAGUCAAAAACUGAGGUGUCUAAACUUUUGAUGACACAUUUAUUCUUGAAAUUUGUAUCACAAAUUGACAUAAUUUGAAAUCAUGAUGUGUCCUAUCUAAAACCAUGGUAAGGUCUGUUAUAA